AGGAAUUUAAUAAGUCCGCUGUAGAAAGCAGGUGCCGAAAGGCUUAAUGACCUGCCGAGGUUGGAAGAUUACGCCGAAGAUAUCUAUUUGGCAUUCUUAACCUCUGCAAGCGCGGAGGUUUUUUGUUGCUAAU
rfam:Desulfosporosinus meridiei DSM 13257, complete genome.